rnacentral:lncRNA from 1 species
GUAAAUAUAAAAAAGAAGAUGUGGUAUGAUUGCCAAUGAGACAACUAUCCACAAAAGACCAAAAUGACACAGACAGUAACAACUAUAGGUCACCGUACGGCCUUCAAAAAUGAGCAAAGCCCAUACCGCAUAGUCAGCUAUAAAAGGCCCCGAUAAGACAAUCAUGGUAAAACAAUUCAAACGAGAAAACUAACGGCCUUAUUUAUGUAAAAAAAUGAACGAAAAACAAAUAUGUAACACAUAAACAAACGACAACCACUGAAUUACAGGCUCCUGACUUGGGAC